CCUACGGGUGGCAGCAGUGGGGGAUAUUGCACAAUGGGGGGAACCCUGAUGCAGCGACGCCGCGUGGGUGAAGGAGUGCUUCGGCAUGUAAAGCCCUAUCGGCAGGGAAGAAGCAAGACGGUACCUGACUAAGAAGCCCCGGCUAACUACGUGCCAGCAGCCGCGGUAAUACGUAGGGGGCGAGCGUUAGCCGGAUUCACUGGGUGUAAAGGGAGCGGAGACGGCCAUGCAAGCCAGGGGUGAAAGCCCGGGGCCCAACCCCGGGACUGCCCUUGGAACUGUGCGGCUAGAGUGCGGGAGGGGCAGGCGGAAUUCCUGGUGUAGCGGUGAAAUGCGUAGAUAUCAGGAGGAACACUGGCGGCGAAGGCGGCCUGCUGGACCGCGACUGACGUUGAGGCUCGAAAGCGUGGGGAGCGAACAGGAUUAGAUACCCGGGUAGUC
rnacentral:rRNA from 1 species